rnacentral:rRNA from 1 species
GAUGAACGCUGGCGGCGCGCCUAACACAUGCAAGUCGAACGGUUAAAGCACCUUUUAGGUGUGUAUAAAGUGGCGAACGGCUGAGUAACACGUGGGCAACCUGCCCUCCUCUUGGGGAUAGCCUCGGGAAACCGAGGAUAAUACCCGAUACUUCAAUGUGGCCGCAUGACGACAUUGAGAAAGCUUUUGCGGAGAAGGAUGGGCCCGCGGCCUGUUAGCUUGUUGGUGGGGUAGAGGCCUACCAAGGCAAUGAUGGGUAGCUGGGUUGAGAGACCGACCAGCCAGAUUGGGACUGAGACACGGCCCAGACUCCUACGGGAGGCAGCAGUGGGGAAUCUUGCACAAUGGGCGAAAGCCUGACGCAGCGACGCCGCGUGCGGGACGAAGGCCUUCGGGUUGUAAACCGCUUUCAGCAGGGACGAGGCGAAAGUGACGGUACCUGCAGAAGAAGCCCCGGCUAACUACGUGCCAGCAGCCGCGGUAAUACGUAGGGGGCAAGCGUUAUCCGGAUUCAUUGGGCGUAAAGCGCUCGUAGGCGGUCUGUUAGGUCGGGAGUUAAAUCCGGAGGCUCAACCUCCGCCCGCUCCCGAUACCGGCAGACUUGAGUUUGGUAGGGGAAGGUGGAAUUCCUAGUGUAGCGGUGGAAUGCGCAGAUAUUAGGAAGAACACCAGUGGCGAAGGCGGCCUUCUGGGCCAUAACUGACGCUGAGGAGCGAAAGCUAGGGGAGCAAACAGGAUUAGAUA